UUUUUUAUUUUGGCUUGGGUCUCUGGCUUGGCAAUUUUUCCUUUCUGGGUUCACCUAUAUGUGGGACUAGCUUGAGCCCUAAUUAGUUCUGGAGGUAAUGCGCAUCCUUCCCAACAAGCCACUACAGCCCUUUUCCAUACAUCAGCCCAUUCACAUCCCUGUUCAGGGUCUCUCUCCCCUUCUUAUUAGUGAUUUUUUGUUUGUCUUAAUUCUUUAUUAUAUUUUGACUUCUACAAUAUAGGAUCUACUGCUUUUGCUUUCAUGUUUGAUUGCUUGGUUUGCCUUGAUCAGUCAGCUUGCGGUCAUGGUCCACGCCGCUCUGUGUAUGUGUGACUGUUUUGGUGCUGCUGGCUGGCAAUCGCUCUCUUUUAGUGCUCUGUGUUCCUCCCCUCUGCACUCAUACGUUUCCUUCCUUUUUUCCUUUUUCUCCAGAGUGCGGCUCCGCUGAUUGGCCGGUGUCAUCAUAUGACACGGCUGCUUCAGCGCUAAGGAGUGUGGGAAUUGUAGGCAUCUCAGCGACCAUGUGACCUCUGAGAUCCAAUCGCGAUGCACCCGCCUCCCCAACAGGCUAUAUAUAGCAUGAUAUGAUCAUUAUCUGUCUGCUACCAACAGGGUACUGACAGAUGUCUUUAUUCCUCUUAAAGAUAGAUGAAUUGAGGCUCUUCAGUGCCCAUGUUAUUGUCUUACUUAAUUCCCCUGUAUUCACCUUGAUUUUAUUACGCUUCAAGUCCUGUCAGUUGAACUUGGAUUUCAAUAUCCACCCUGAGGGGGUUUUUCCUUGACUGGCUGUGCAUGAAGCUAGGAGUAAUCUAGAGAGACGAUCUUGUCCUAAUUCCCCUGAAGAAGCCAAGAGGCGAAACUAGUAGGGUCGACCUGAUCGAAAAAAUUAUUUCUAGAUCCUGCUCCCACAAAAU